rnacentral:rRNA from 1 species
GAUGAACGCUAGCGGCAGGCCUAAUACAUGCAAGUCGAACGGGAUUGCGGUAGUAGCUUGCUACUACUGCAUGAGAGUGGCGCACGGGUGCGUAACGCGUGAGCAACCUACCCAUAUCAGGGGGAUAGCCCGGCGAAAGUCGGAUUAACACCGCAUAACAUCAACAGUUCGCAUGUUCAGUUGAUUAAAUAUUUAUAGGAUAUGGAUGGGCUCGCGUGACAUUAGCUAGUUGGUAGGGUAACGGCUUACCAAGGCAACGAUGUCUAGGGGCUCUGAGAGGAGAAGCCCCCACACUGGUACUGAGACACGGACCAGACUCCUACGGGAGGCAGCAGUAAGGAAUAUUGGUCAAUGGGCGCAAGCCUGAACCAGCCAUGCCGCGUGCAGGAGGACUGCCCUAUGGGUUGUAAACUGCUUUUAUCAGGGAAUAAACCCCUUUACGAGUAGAGGGUUGAAUGUACCUGAAGAAUAAGGAUCGGCUAACUCCGUG